CAGAGCCACAACUGCCCCCUCGGAGCCGUAACUGCCCCUCACAGCCACAGCCGCCCCUCGCCGCCCGGUGCCCGCCACCUCCCCAGUGACACCAAUGCCAACAUCUCAAGGCUCAGAAAUUGUAAAUAAUUCGCCCAGAGACUCACAGAGAGUGUGUGUGGGGGUGAAACAGGGUCUUGGCCUAUCAGUGAAAGAGGUGCCAUGGCCUCAAAGGAGGGACCUGGCACAAAGGGCCACCUGGGCUAUUGUUGCACAGUUGUCACCAGCUGUGUCUCCUGUCAGCUGGCUGGGCCACAGGAUGUAAAUGUGGCUUUAAGUGUUGUUCAGAAGCUGGGGCCCGGGGCAGCAGGUCGCAUCUUGCUUGCCAAGGAAACCUCUGAGGGACUUUGCCUAAAACUGAAUAGGGGGCACUUCCCCAAACCCAAAGGACCCCCCGAGCCCCCGAGUGAAUCUGUGCUGGCACAGAAACAAGGAUUGCAUAAGAUCGCGCCGGCUAAAUAAAUGUGCGUCAGAGCAUCACACCCCUCUGCUGGGGGCACGUCCAGAGCACCAUGAGGAGCAGAGUGACUUCAGAGCCUGCCAGGAUCCGGGUGACAGUGGGAUGCUGCUCCAACACUCAGAAGGAUGCAGCCUCUGUUUCCCUUUCCCUGGGAAGUGAUGCACUGAGCACCAGCUGGGACAUUCCAGCAGAGGGGUCAUUCCCCACAGCUGGAUUUCUGGAUUCUGGGACCUGUCUGCAGGAGCUGGAGCUUUCCUGCCCG